rnacentral:rRNA from 1 species
GAUGAACGCUGGCGGCAUGCCUAAGACAUGCAAGUCGAACGAGAAGACCUUUGGAAGACUGAGUGCUUGCACAAAGUUAGAAAAAGAUCAUCUUCUAGUGGCAGACGGGUGAGUAACACGUGGGUAACCUACCUUCAAGCUGGGGAUAACAGUUGGAAACGACUGCUAAUACCGAAUAAGAUAUAUAGCAAUAUAUAUUGAAAGAAGCCUCUAAAGCUUCACUUAAAGAUGGGCCUGCGGCGUAUUAACUAGUUGGUGAGGUAAUGGCUCACCAAGGUAACGAUGCGUAGCCGAACUGAGAGGUUGAACGGCCACACUGGGACUGAGACACGGCCCAGACUCCUACGGGAGACAGCAGUUAGGAAUAUUCGUCAAUGGGGGAAACCCUGAACGAGCAAUGCCGCGUGAGUGAUGAAGGCCCUAUGGGUUGUAAAACUCUGUUGUAUGGGAAGAACGGCGUAUAUUAGGAAAUGAAUAUAGAGUGACGGUACCAUACCAAG